rnacentral:lncRNA from 1 species
AUAUGUUAUAUUUCUUGAAUAUAUAAAAUAAUGGAGAAAAUGUUAAUGGAAAUGAACUAAAAAGUGUAUUGUACCAGGAAAUCCAGUUGUUAAAUAAAUAUUAGCACAUCUCUGAUUCUAAGUACUGCUUUUUGAUUUUUAAAUUUGAAAGAGAGAGAGAGAGAGAGAGAGAGGAGAGAAGGAAAGAAAACAUACAUUAUAUGUAGAGAAGUGAGGGAAAGCAGAAUUGGGUCUUAAGUGAGUUCUUGAAGGAAGAUAAAAUUUCUUAAGAGUAUUGUGAAUAGGUGGAACAGCUAAGCAAAGGAAGAACAAAUAAAAACGUGCACAUUGUGUCAAGGAACUUGGGACACCAGUUUGUAUGGAGUUUUGAUUUGAGUUUGAGAAAAUAAUGAGUAAUAAUGAUAGGCAAUUUGGGACCAGAAGAUGGAGGGCCUUGAAUUCCUGGCUAAGGACCUUGGACUUUAUCCUGGAGACAUUGGGAGCCACUGACAGUUUUUGAGUGAAGGAAUUAUGUGUAUAUAUAGAGUAGAACUUUAGAAAACUAUCUGGCAGCACUGUGGAUGUGGGGAGAGAGUGGGGAGCUCAGUAUAUACUAUGUCACAUAACUAGAACACAGGAGAUAAUCAUUUAUUUGCUUUUACACAUUAGAAAUAUUUUCAUCAAAUGAGUGUCACUCUUCAGGAACAGCUUUGAAUGUGAAGGAAACAUGUUUAUCUUAGCAAUGCUGCUGUGGCUUAACAUAUUUUUUGAGUUUUCUUUUUGGAUUUGCCUUCAAAACCAGCUUAUUCCCUAAGGUCUCACUAUUUUUUGAAUCUCAAUUUGCAUGGAAUUCCAAACCUUUUUGCCAAACUGGUUUGUCACAUCAAAAUCACAUUUAUGAAAUGUGAUUCAUACUCUAGGGGCUGGAAUGUUGUGAGCAGUUGCAUUUUUGGAAUUGGGGCACAUCCCCUGAGACUGCUGCGUUCCAGUGGAUGGGUAAUGUCAAAUGCUACUAACCGAAGACAAGGACUUCUAUGAGAGCAUAUUAUGAAGGGGUGAGCAUCGAACCAAUUGGACUUCAUAAAUAACGAGUCUGACAACAGAAUUUAAAUAAAUAAGCUGCAUUAUCUGUACAAAAAAUAUAAAUACAGGCUUGUGUUUUUCAGGGAGGAGUCACAUCCUUCCACAGUAUUUAGCAACCCUUCAGUUCUCUUAUUGCGAUGUUGCCAAGUCACAAUUCACAGGACAAACA